CCUACGGGCUGCAGCAGUAGGGAAUCUUCCGCAAUGGACGAAAGUCUGACGGAGCAACGCCGCGUGAGUGAUGAAGGUUUUCGGAUCGUAAAGCUCUGUUGUUAGGGAAGAACAAGUACCGUUCGAAUAGGGCGGUACCUUGACGGUACCUAACCAGAAAGCCACGGCUAACUACGUGCCAGCAGCCGCGGUAAUACGUAGGUGGCAAGCGUUGUCCGGAAUUACUGGGCGUAAAGGGCCCGCAGGCGGUUUCUUAAGUCUGAUGUGAAAGCCCCCGGCUCAACCGGGGAGGGUCAUUGGAAACUGGGGAACUUGAGUGCAGAAGAGGAGAGUGGAAUUCCACGUGUAGCGGUGAAAUGCGUAGAGAUGUGGAGGAACACCAGUGGCGAAGGCGACUCUCUGGUCUGUAACUGACGCUGAGGAGCGAAAGCGUGGGGAGCGAACAGGAUUAGAUACCCGCGUAGUC
rnacentral:rRNA from 1 species